UUAAUAUAAAUUUAAUAGUCGCAGACAGCAGGUGCCAAAAUUAGGCGUAAAUCCUGCCGAGACCAAGCUAAUUUUAGCUAUUUUAGAGUCUGCGCAUUAGGCAGAUUUUUUUUAUUAAAAAA
rfam:Parcubacteria bacterium GW2011_GWC2_42_12 TT95_C0017, whole genome shotgun sequence.